rnacentral:ncRNA from 1 species
AUGGUCAGGAUCUUCGCGAUGUAGGGGAUCAGAGGCAGGUUCAGGAUCAACAGCACCAGAUUGCCGAGAUACAUGGAGAUAAUGACGGCCCAGAACACCUCGGGCGUGUCGGUCAUCAGCCGCGGACC